GAUGAACGCUGGCGGCGUGCCUAAUACAUGCAAGUCGAGCGAACGGACGAGAAGCUUGCUUCUCUGAUGUUAGCGGCGGACGGGUGAGUAACACGUGGAUAACCUCCCUAUAAGACUGGGAUAACUUCGGGAAACCGGAGCUAAUACCGGCUAAUAUUUUGAACCGCAUGGUUCAAAAGUGAAAGACGGUCUUGCUGUCACUUAUAGAUGGAUCCGCGCUGCAUUAGCUAGUUGGUAAGGUAACGGCUUACCAAGGCAACGAUGCAUAGCCGACCUGAGAGGGUGAUCGGCCACACUGGAACUGAGACACGGUCCAGACUCCUACGGGAGGCAGCAGUAGGGAAUCUUCCGCAAUGGGCGAAAGCCUGACGGAGCAACGCCGCGUGAGUGAUGAAGGUCUUCGGAUCGUAAAACUCUGUUAUUAGGGAAGAACAUAUGUGUAAGUAACUGUGCACAUCUUGACGGUACCUAAUCAGAAAGCCACGGCUAACUACGUG
rnacentral:rRNA from 1 species